UCCCUGGUGGUCCAGUGGGUAAGACUCCGCACUUACAAUGCAGGGUGCCCAGGUUCAAUCCCUGGUUGGGGAA